GAAAGAUCACCCUGAUCAGAGCUGGGAGAAUGGAGGUGCCGGGCAGGAGCAGAUGCCAGGGCCUGCUUGGAGGCAACUGGAAUACUCCAGAAGUAUGGAAUUCUCUCUCAGCUAAGAGAUGAGGCUGACAAAGUGCUGUGGAUGCACAUGAAGUUUGACGCAUCAAUUACAGGAAACAGAUCAGCCAGCCAACAGCGACAUCGCUGGAUCUCAACAACGCAGUAGAUAACCGCUGGUAAGAGUUUGGCUUAUAUUCUUCUACAUUUUUUUCCCCACAAGAAACUGAAAUUUGAAUUUUCUUCUACAAGUGAGAAAAAAAAAAAGUAAAAUCUCUAACUGUCUUAGUGAUGAUAAUUCUGAGAAGACAGGCCCAUUGAGCCAAGUAGGAGGAUAGGUUUCCUGAGGAUGGAGAUGCAGAAAUAGUUGACUUUGCCUUCACGAAGCAUCCUGACAUUUUUAGAUGUGGCUACACUCUGUGGGCCGGAAGUCGAAUUCCCUGGAGGGCUAGAGCUCUCAGUAUUUUGGACAUAUGUGAAGUCAGCACAGGGGGCAGGCGGUAAGUUAACUUGAAGAGAAUUCCAGUUACAAAUUUAGCUCAGCUUCUAAAAAACACUCCCAUCGAAGAGAGAUUCCUGGUUGCUGUGGAACUGCGUCCCCUGUGGGAUUUUCCUUGUGGAGUUAACUAGACACAGUUGUUACUAGGUAGCGGGACAACAGAUUUGCUUAAGAUCUCUUCGAUUUUGACAGUUUGAUGAUGGGUGACUUAUGUGGUAUUGUGGACAUCUGUUGGCUUUAUAUUUUGCCUGCCAAGCAUCCAUACUUUCUUUUUUCUGGUAUCCAUACUCAAUUUUUCUUCUGGUUCACCACCUAUACCGGGUUGAAUAAUGCCUCCCUCCCCACCCCAAUUCAUGUCUACUCGGAAGCUCAGCAUGUGACUUUAUUUGGAAAUAAGAGUCUUUGUGGAUAUAGCUAGGAUGAGGUCAUCCUGGAUUAGGGGGGGUCCUAAGUUCAAGGACUGGUGUUACCAUGAGAAGACACAGAGAAGGAAGGAGAGGCAGAGACUGGAAUGAAAUAACUGGAAGGGAAAGAACACGGAGGAUCGGGAUUGUCAGCGCCUCCAGGAGCUAGGAGAGAGGCCUGGAACGGGCUCUGCCUCAGAACCUCCAGCAGGAACCAACUCUUUGGACACCUUGAUGUUGGGCUUCUGGCCUCCAGGACUGGGAGAAGAUGCAUUUCUGUUGUUUAAGUCCUCCAGUUUGUGGUAUUUGUUAUGGCAGCCCUAGCAAAUUAAUAUACCUCCCAUUUACCCUGUCAAAAUGAUCCGGGGGCUAGUCUCUGUUGUGCUGGGCUCCUAUUAACUUCGGUAGGGAAGGCAUUAGGUUCAGGAGGAUGAGGAAGAGACCCAGAGUCCUCAAAUGAGACAUGGGGUUUUAUUAGCAGGAAGCUUACAUACACAGUGGUCCAGUGGUGGUGGGCUGGGCAGGAGAACCACAACUGCUUCCAAAAGCAUGUGGUUUGUACAGCAUUUUCACCUAGCACCCUCCCUGUAACAAUCUCCACCUGGCAACCCUCGUUUAACUCAAAACAAAGGGCCUCAAUGUCCUGCACGGGCCCUUUACGUUCCAUGCGUCAGGCUGGGG
rnacentral:lncRNA from 10 species